rnacentral:rRNA from 1 species
GCGCACCAGGCGCGAAUCUUCCACAAUGGACGAAAGUCUGAUGGAGCGACGCCGCGUGCGGGAUGAAGGCCUUAUGGGUUGUAAACCGCUGUCAGGGGGGAAGAACAUCGGAAUGAACAAUACUCAUUCCGACUGACGUUACCCCCAGAGGAAGCUCCGGCCAACUCCGUGCCAGCAGCCGCGGUAAUACGGGGGGAGCAAGCGUUGUCCGGGAAUUAUUGGGCGUAAAGAGCGUGUAGGCGGCGAGGUAAGUCGAAUGUGAAAUCUCACGGCUCAACCGUGAAACUGCGUUCGAAAACUACCCUGCUUGAGUACGGGAGAGGUGUACGGAAUUCCUGGUGUAGCGGUGGAAUGCGUA